UACGUAGGUGGCAAGCGUUGUCCGGAUUUACUGGGCGUAAAGAGCGCGCAGGCGGUCGUUCAGAGCGCGUGUGAAAGCCCCGGCUCAACUGGGGAGGGUCACGCGAUACUGCUCGACUCGAAGGCAGGAGAGGGAAGUGGAAUUCCCGGUGUAGUGGUGAAAUGCGUAGAGAUCGGGAGGAACACCAGUGGCGAAGGCGGCUCGCUGGGCCGGUCCUGACACUGAGACGCGAAGGCGUGGGGAGCGAACGGG
rnacentral:rRNA from 1 species